rnacentral:rRNA from 1 species
AGAGGGGUGCGAGCGUUAAUCGGAAUUACUGGGCGUAAAGGGCACGUAGGUGGAUUUGCAAGUUGGGGUGUGAAAGCCCCGGGCUUAACCUGGGAAUGUCAUCCAAAACUGCAAGUCUAGAGUACAGUAGAGGAAAGUGGAAUUUCCGGUGUAGCGGUGAAAUGCGUAGAUAUCGGAAGGAACACCAGUGGCGAAGGCGACUUUCUGGACUGAUACUGACACUGAGGUGCGAAAGCGUGGGGAGCGAACAGGAUUAGAUACCCUGGUAGUCCACGCCGUAAACGAUGAGAACUAGCCGUUGGAGGCCUUGAGUCUUUAGUGGCGCAGCUAACGCGAUAAGUUCUCCGCCUGGGGAGUACGGCCGCAAGGUUA